CUCUCCAUGUCUCGCUAGAUCCAUGAGUGAGGAAUCAAAUCAGAAACAAAAGUUCAUGAUUAUCAUUUCAUUCUUGAUCGAAUGGAAAUCAAUAUAUGGUUAUCUUACAUUUCAACCUCCUUUUUUGUUAUCCCAAAAUAAAUCUUCGGCAACUGUGAUUUCUUUGAUUAGAUACGAGAAAAUGGGUGAGAGUUGUGUGCUCAAGUCGAAGAACCCUUUUCACUCUGGGUUGUUGGCCUUAUUUCUCAUCAACUUCAUCAUCAUCCUCGUUUGGUGGCAACUCAUUCAAUUCUAGUCAAAAGCACUCUUUCUUCUAUCCUCUUCAUUUUCGGUUGGGGCACGUGCUUGUUCAUUUAUUCCACUCCUACCGCCGCCACCAGCUAAGGACUCCGCUGGCACUCCAAUAAAACUAUUGAGAUCAAUGACAACAUAGACAGGAGAUUCAUUGUAAUUUUAGUUACUAUUAUUUUCGUACUCGUUCUCUGAUAUGUUAGAAUAAAUAUUCAAUGAUUGUGAUUUCUUUGAUUAAA